rnacentral:rRNA from 1 species
CCUACGGGAGGCAGCAGUAGGGAAUCUUCCACAAUGGGCGAAAGCCUGAUGGAGCAACGCCGCGUGGGUGAAGAAGGUCUUCGGAUAGUAAAACCCUGUUGUUAGAGAAGACAGUGCGUGAGAGUAACUGUUCACGUUUCGACGGUAUCUAACCAGAAAGCCCCGGCUAACUACGUGCCAGCAGCCGCGGUAAUACGUAGGGGGCAAGCGUUAUCCGGAUUUAUUGGGCGUAAAGGGAACGCAGGCGGUCUUUUAAGUCUGAUGUGAAAGCCUUCGGGUUAACCGGAGUAGUGCAUUGGAGACUGGGAGGCUUGAGUGCAGAAGAGGAGAGUGGAACUCCAUGUGUAGCGGUGAAAUGCGUAGAUAUAUGGAAGAACACCAGUGGCGAAGGCGGCUCUCUGGUCUGUAACUGACGCUGAGGUUCGAAAGCGUGGGUAGCAAACAGGAUUAGAUACCCCAGUAGUC